CUACAGCAAUAUAUGCCAAUGGUCACGAGAUAUUAGUAUGCUUACCCAAAAGACAACACCGAGAAGAAUACAGCAUUGCAUCAAAAACCCUUAUGGAGGAGGGAAUAAAGUGCUGAGAUAAAUUGUGUUGGGUCUACAGAAAAGUGAGGAAGUGACGCCUGAAACCUCAGAGUUAGCAGGGUAUCACUGGAAUCAAAGCGGCUCUGACUGCCAAGGAUGUCAUCUGCCCAGUAAUGAAUGGGAAUGGUCAGUUUGAAAUGGCAUGAAGCACAGACUAAGAGCUGAAAUGUCACAACUGACAACUGCUCCUGCUUGGUGCUUUUUCCACUGGGCACGCCAGAAGGAGUCCUCACUCCUGCAUACAGCUUGUAGCAAUACACUGGCUCUUCAGAACUGAUGGUUUGAGCUGCUGCUACACACAGCUCAGGGCAAAAUCCAGAGCAGCAUCUUUGCUAGCCUGCUGCUGCCUGUUCAAGCUGACAAGGAGCUGCUUAUGAGUGGUGCCUCUGCAUCAGGUACUUGCCUGACUCCCACCGCACAUGAGAGAUAAAUGACAUUUGUUCUUAUGAUAAGUGGCAAGACAGAAAUCCAGGCUCCCAUCCUUCAGGUAUCAAUCACUAUGUUUGCUUGUUUCUUUCUUUGUUUGUUUUAAUUGAAAGCUUUGUUUAAAAAAAAAAAAAAAAAAAAAAAAAAGCUCAGAAAUUGUUUAUUCAGCUGUGAAAGUUUGUCAACCUACAAUGACUGUUGUUUUUUUUUCUUUUUAUUUUUUUCCUACCAAUAACAAAAAGCAAAAAAAAAAAAAAAAAAAAAAAAAAGCAAGAGUUGUGUUCUGUUGUGUUGCCUAAGGAUGAAUCUCAUUGCAUUUGUCUUAAUAUAUAAUAUAGAUAGAUAUACUGGAUGUUAAGAAUGUAUCUAUACCUGGUAUGGACAGUCUUUUUCACUGCUAGAAGUGUUGCUGCCAUUGUAGCCAAAGACAAACUUCUUAGUAGUUCACAACCUGUUGAGAGUGAUUUAUUCUUUGCAUUGUCUGGCCUGCUAUAUAGUAGAGGCAGCAUGCAUCUCCAGUAAGAAAAAUCAAGGUCGAAAGCAUACUACCCAAACUUGGUGUGUGUUGAGAUUGUGUGUUUGUAUCCCCAUGUCCUCUUCUACAGACACAGUUUAUAUCAUUUCCAGGCAAAAGAAGCUCUAAUGAUAAAUUGCAGUACUCUUAUUCUAUUGUUUGGCGUAGUUCUCUACCCAGGACUGUUAAAUUAUGAAGUAACAUUAGUGCAGACCAAGAUUUAUAUCUCAACCACUAGCUAAAAUCUGUGUUUUUGAUUGCAUAGACCAGAGAACCUGCUUAGAACAGAAAAGAGACUCCUGAAAAGUUCUGGUUACCAUAAAUCAGAUCAUCAAACCUUUCUCCCGGCUUGGAUGCAGGGUAGUACCUUUUAUCUCAAUUGAAAUUAUCAUAAUUUGAUCCUUGGCUUAAUAAAAGUGUCAGUUCGGAUCAACUAAAUCAAAGUACAAGAUCUCAACGUGCCCCAGUGCUUAAGGACCAGUAUUUUUUUAUUUGACUUUGCUAUUCACUGCAGAUAAAUUGUUGGCAUUUACUCUUGGACUGAGGUUUUCUCAUGGAGAAUAAAAGCAUUUAAGGUGCUUCAGGCAUGGUUCAAACGUAACCCUUCCCCAAAAGGAGAUGCAGGUUGACCUUCUAACUUCAGAUACCAUUGGGAGCAAUGCUUUCUAACCAGAAGUUCUGCAACAAAUCCUUAUUCCAAGAAUAUUUAAAAUGAUGAGAAAAUUAUAUCAAAGUAGACAUCCAGGACAAAUCCAUAAAUCCUAUUUAAUGUCAAAAUAGAAAAUAAAAUUAAAGUUUCUCAAAGUGUUUGCACCACAGACUCUUUCCUUGAAAAUGAAAUAUGUUAAAUGCUGGUUUUGUAUUUUAUAUAUUUUUAAAAAUUGAAUAUAAUAGGGAAAAUUGCAAAAUAAAUUUUAGUUAAAUGAA